GAAAUUAUAUUUGAAACCUGUUAUUUUAGGACACGGACCCUAUUCUUCCGUUUAAUAGCAUAACCUUGGCAUUCGAAUAGAACCUAGCUUUUUAAUUAUAAAUUUUAUUUCAUUAUCUAUUCAACAGUUAUACAGGGGUUUAUAUUUUCCUACAAUUUGUAUGGGUCUCUCUGUAUAUUUGGUAAACUAGUAUAGUAUGUAUGUUGCGUAAAGUUUUAGGCAUAAAUUAAUUAACAAUACAGAUAGAACACUAGAUGUCGUCUUUUCAAGAUUUAGGGAUUUUUCGUUCACAAUAACCCUGAGACAGAGGCCCAAAGGAGUUACGCGGGUGUUGCGUUGAAUUAUAAGACAGACCGAGAGAGCAUACGCGAAACUCCUUUGGGAUUCUGUCUCAGAGUUAUUGUGAACAAAAAACUCCUAAAUCUUGAUAAGAAGACAGCUAGCGUUCUAUUUGUAUUUUUUAUAAUCAAUGAUUCUAGGGUUGUUAAUUUGGAUUUAUUCACGAAAAUAUGCACCCUUGUGAUUUCAGACAAAGCUUUUUCUGAUCACGUGAGCUGAUGUAUUAAUUCUUUUUAAAACUAAAGGAAAUCAUUUUCAAACAAAUAAAACUUGCAACUUUGUAGAAAACUGUGAAUUUUAAAUCUGCUGCUGGUGGCUGGUAUUAAAAUAUGUUAAAAUUGACUAAUCCAAAAACCAGUGGUUGGAUCUUUUGGAUGCGGAUCUGGAGUAUAGAUGUUCAAGUUUUUCUUACUUUUUAAUAGUUUCGUUUCUUUACUCUGCUGUCAACAUUUGAGACAUGUGUUUUGAGAACGCUAUGAGAUUGAUCGAAAUAUUGCAGUUGAUAUUUUGCUACUUUGUCCCGAAUCCGGGUAAAGGAAUGGCCAAAAUCUUACGAAUUCAGUGGUUUCGGAUCCUAAGCACUGCAUUGUAAUUGCCAAAACUUAGUUAUAUUCUCUCUUAAUUUUCUCAAUAAAAGCAAUGAUUUUAUGAUCACUCAUUUACAAACUCAAAAAGAUUUAAUAAAUAUUUCUUCAGAAAUAAAAUCCUAAACUUUUUAAAAAUGUGUUCCGAGGUCCUAACUUUUGUGUUGAGAAUCUCGGAAACAAGCACUGAGCCGUUAUCUCAAGAAUAAAGUUAAUUCUUUUUAAACCCCCCUUUGGACGGAAGCCUGCAGGAUUAAUAACUAUGAACUCAGGGAUCAAGUAAUUAUCACUUUUUAAACCCCCCCCCUUUGGACGGAAGCCUGCAGGAAUAAUAACUAUGAACUCAGGGAUCAAGUAAUUAUCACUUUUUAAACCCCCCCUUUGGACGGAAGCCUGCAGGAAUAAUAACUAUGAACUCAGGGAUCAAGUAAUUAUCACUAAAAAUUUCUAAGUUGAAAGUGUUGCUAUCGAUAUCAAGCAUUGUAGAAUAGAGUUAUCUCCCAUUAAAGAUCCGCCCUCUGGACGUUUUGUACUUACUAAAACAGAACCAAUAUUCAUUUCGUUGGACCAACAAGUUUAAGAAUAAAUCAUUCCACAAAUGCCGAGGGGAGCAUGUAUUUUACUUGAUUUCUGCUAUUUCUGUCAGUGUUAAAAAAUGUACAUCAAGAAGUAGAUUUUUAUUUUUAACAUGGAUAAUUUUCCUGUGUCCCUUCACAUAAAAUGAAAAUAGAAGUUGUGAUCUUUGAUGAACUUGAGCGAAAAAUAUUGUCAUUUAUGAGCACAGAACAAAAUUUUUGAACAUUUCCUCCUAAAAAAUUAAAUUUGCCCGAGAGAAAUACUAGGUUUUAGACUUUCUGCUUUUUGUGAAGUCUUACUAGUCUUAAAGGGAGACAUGGCAAGAAAUUGUAGAAAUCCGCAUUUAAAACUGUUUAAUGUUCUUCUAGUCUAGUUUAGUUUAGAUAUUUGUUCAUGAGUAAAUCUCUCUCUCGUAAAUCUCUCGUAGACUAGUUUCUCAAAGUUUGAUAGGUGUUCGAAAUAUAUAUUUUGUUGUUUUAUUUGCUUCGCGCAAACUUAA